GACGAACGCUGGCGGCGUGCUUAACACAUGCAAGUCGAACGGAAAGGCCCUGCUUUUGUGGGGUGCCCGAGUGGCGAACGGGGGAGUAACACGUGAGUAACCUGCCCUGGACUUUGGGAUAACUUCAGGAAACUGGGGCUAAUACCGGAUAGGAGCUCCUGCUCCAGGGUGGGGGUUGGAAAGUUUCGGCGGUUGGGGAGGGACUCGCGGCUUAUCGGCUUGUUGGUGGGGGAGUGGCUUACCAAGGCUUUGACGGGUAGCCGGCCUGGGAGGGUGACCGGCCACAUUGGGACUGCGAUACGGCCCAGACUCCUACGGGAGGAAGCAGUGGGGAAUAUUGCACAAUGGGCGGAAGCCUGAUGCCGCAACGCCGCGUGCGGGAUGACGGCCUUCGGGUUGUAAACCGCUUUCGCCUGUGACGAAGCGUGAGUGACGGUAAUGGGUAAAGAAGCACCGGCUAACUACGUG
rnacentral:rRNA from 1 species